UACGUAGGGUGCAAGCGUUGUCCGGAAUUAUUGGGCGUAAAGAGCUCGUAGGCGGUGUGUCGCGUCGGCCGUGAAAACCUGCAGCUUAACUGUGGGCUUGCGGUCGAUACGGGCAUCACUGGAGUUCGGCAGGGGAGACUGGAAUUCCUGGUGUAGCGGUGAAAUGCGCAGAUAUCAGGAGGAACACCGGUGGCGAAGGCGGGUCUCUGGGCCGAUACUGACGCUGAGGAACGAAAGCGUGGGGAGCAAACAGG
rnacentral:rRNA from 1 species